rnacentral:rRNA from 1 species
AUUGAACGCUGGCGGCAGGCCUAACACAUGCAAGUCGAACGAGUGGCGGACGGGUGAGUAAUGUCUGGGAAACUGCCCGAUGGAGGGGGAUAACUACUGGAAACGGUAGCUAAUACCGCAUACCAUCGGAUGUGCCCAGAUGGGAUUAGCUAGUAGGUGGGGUAAUGGCUCACCAAGGCGACGAUCCCUAGCUGGUCUGAGAGGAUGACCAGCAACACUGGAACUGAGACACGGUCCAGACCCCUACGGGAGGCAUCAGUGGGGAAUAUGGCACAAGGGGCGCAAGCCUGAUGCAGCCAUGCCGCGUGUAUGAAGAAGGCCUUCGGGUUGUAAAGGACUUUCAGCGGGGAGGCGUUAACCGCAGAAGAAGCACCGGCUAACUCCGUGCCAGCCGCCGCGGUAAUUC